rnacentral:rRNA from 1 species
GCAUGGUUGUCGUCAGCUCGUGUCGUGAGAUGUUGGGUUAAGUCCCGCAACGAGCGCAACCCCUAUCCUUAGUUGCCAGCAUUCAGUUGGGCACUCUAGGGAGACUGCCGGUGACAAACCGGAGGAAGGUGGGGAUGACGUCAAAUCAUCAUGCCCCUUAUGAGUUGGGCUACACACGUGCUACAAUGGACGGUACAAAGGGCAGCGAGACCGCGAGGUGGAGCCAAUCCCAUAAAGCCGUUCCCAGUUCGGAUUGCAGGCUGCAACUCGCCUGCAUGAAGUCGGAAUCGCUAGUAAUCGCAGGUCAGCAUACUGCGGUGAAUACGUUCCCGGGUCUUGUACACACCGCCCGUCACACCACGAGAGUUUGCAACACCCGAAGCCGGUGAGUAACAGNCAAGGAGNCAGCCGUCGAAGU